ACGAAGCAUUUGUGUAUGUCGCUCUGGAUAAGGGCGUCUGCUAAAUGCCUUAAA
rfam:Astyanax mexicanus chromosome 16, whole genome shotgun sequence.